CAGUAGCCACGGGAAUACGGAGGGGGCUAGCGUUGUUCGGAAUUACUGGGCGUAAAGCGCACGUAGGCGGCUUUGUAAGUUAGAGGUGAAAGCCUGGAGCUCAACUCCAGAAUUGCCUUUAAGACUGCAUCGCUUGAAUCGCGGAGAGGUGAGUGGAAUUCCGAGUGUAGAGGUGAAAUUCGUAGAUAUUCGGAAGAACACCAGUGGCGAAGGCGGCUCACUGGACGCGUAUUGACGCUCAUGCACGAAAGCGUGGGGAGCAAACAGGAUUAGAUACCCCCGUAGUCCCUGUCUCUUAUAC
rnacentral:rRNA from 1 species